UACGAAGGACCCGAGCGUUAUCCGGAUUUAUUGGGUUUAAAGGGUGUGUAGGCGGACUUUUAAGUCAGCGGUGAAAUCUCCGGGCUCAACCCGGAAACUGCCAUUGAUACUAUUGGUCUUGAAUAUUGUGGAGGUGGGCGGAACGGGUCAUGUAGCGGUGAAAUGCUUAGAGAUGACCCGGAACACCGAUUGCGAAGGCAGCCCACUACGCAAUGAUUGACGCUGAGGCACGAAAGCGUGGGGAUCAAACAGG
rnacentral:rRNA from 1 species